rnacentral:rRNA from 1 species
AUGAGGUAUCCCACUCUUCGUGAGUUAAGGCCCCCAGCUAGACCACUGGGUUGAUAGGCCGGAGGUGGAAGACCGGUAACGGUUGGAGCUGACUGGUACUAAUAGGCCGAGGACUUGUUACG